rnacentral:rRNA from 1 species
AGGGGGGACGGAGAAGGCUAUGUUGGCCGGGCGACGGUUGUCCCGGUUUAAGCGUGUAGGCUGGUUUUCCAGGCAAAUCCGGAAAAUCAAGGCUGAGGCGUGAUGACGAGGCACUACGGUGCUGAAGCAACAAAUGCCCUGCUUCCAGGAAAAGCCUCUAAGCAUCAGGUAACAUCAAAUCGUACCCCAAACCGACACAGGUGGUCAGGUAGAGAAUACCAAGGCGCUUGAGAGAACUCGGGUGAAGGAACUAGG